GACUGACAGGAGGUGGCCCAGCCCGCAGUUCCGCCCUGCUCCCAGGCGUGAGACCUGGCUUCCCACACAAGGCACGUGUUUCUCAGAGCCCCAGGGUUGCUCAGGCCUAAUGGGGUGGCCAGGGCCGAAGGUCGGGGUGCGAGGCCAGGGCUGGCCCAGCCGGCAGAGGCAGCGGCAGCAAUCACAGAACUCACCCCAGCACGACACCCAGCUCCUUCACGUGGACGCGUGUGUCCCCCGUGAGAUACUCGGACAGCAUCUUACUUUUAAGAAAAGGAGAUUCCAGCCGCUCAGUCAGCAAAACUCAGCCUUCUUCUAGCAGAGAAUCUGCCAGCCAAUGUCGGACAGAAAAUGAGGUCGUGACGGUCCACAAAUGUCCCUCACCCAGCCUGGAGCAGACUUCCUACAGGAGCAACUCAGUGUAAUGCCCGAAUAAAGACUUAAGUGAAAAAGGUUGUCGGUUUCUAAAACCAGCAAUGCUGUUUGAUGAAAUUAAUUGUUAUUAUGUGACACACCAAGAAUAGCUGUUUACUGAGGGCUUACAAUGUUGCCCACUCUGCCACCAAAUGCUUCAGCGUGAAUUACCUAAUUUUCAAGGGCACGAAGGACAGAUUCUGUUCUUUCUCCUUAUCUGCACAGCUGAGAGGUCUGUAAGUGGUACUCCUUGGAAUAUGACUUGAAAGCAUGCACAACACCCACCAAUGCAUGCAUCCUGGCUGUUAAAGUAUCCCAUGUUGACAGGCGCUUUGGCUGUUUAAAAUUACCCAUAAUUUUCAGGGAGUUCCCACAAUACCCUUAUAUUAUCUUCAUUCUACAAACCAGAAGGCUGAGGCUCUGCUCCAGGUGCAGACACUGGGAUUACCCACCGUCACCCAAGUGGUUACUGCAAAGCAGCCUGAAGCCAGCCAGCUGCAGCGCCUUCCUGCCCUCCGCACUGCCACUGCCCCACGACAGGCACUGUCCAGAGUGCCUCCUUCAAGCCACGCCACUCCUCCCCACGUCCAAGGAGUGUGCAUCCCUUAGACCUGGCUGUAAGAGCCAGGAAGCUAACUACUCGUUGCCGAUGAAUAUAUUUCAUUAGUAUUCACUUCCUGCUUUGCUGUUAAGCAGCCCGUGUCCCUCUCGAGAGCAACUGGCCAGAGGUUCCGGUGCGGGUGCGGAGCUCUGCUCAGCAAGGGGCCCCAAGCGUGGGGCGAGAACAGGUCGGCGCCCCACUCGCUCGGGAGACCCUGGCCCUGCGCCCCGCUCCCUCUGGAAACCGCUCUCCCUUUCUUCCUGAACAGAUCGCCUGUUCCAGUCUCUCCACCCGCGCACGCGUCCAGCCCCUCCCACCCACACUCACGGAAAG
rnacentral:lncRNA from 1 species